CACUGCAGGUUAUGUGGACAUCAGCUGACCUUUUAUUUUGAAGAGAGAACGGCACUGUCCUACAUGCUACCCAAUACUUGUUAAACAACCUUAAAAGGCCCUCAAGAGCUUUGAGCUGGACUGCUUUCAGAUUUCUUUGCAUUAUUCUGUCUGAUACAAAGGUUUUCGACAUGGCUCCAUUCCAAUCUCCUGUACGUGUCUGACAAACUGGCUGGAAGAUCUACAUUUGGCAAUAGAGGUCACAAAACAUAAAAAAUUAGUGAGAGGUUUCCUUCAGGAAAGAGAAUUUGGAUGUUGAGGUAGUGUUUGGCUGGGACUGCUGCAUCCUGGCCAGGCUUUCAGAUCCAGCCAGAGCAGCCUGUAUUUAGAAGAUGAAAGGAAGAAUCCUUCUGCCAAUACAGAUCUGGCACUUACCAUUUGUCCUUUUUUACAAGCAAGAGAGACUUUCACAAGUCUAGUAGUAAGACUCCAUUAAAAUAACUGAAACUCCUUGCUGAGUGAGUGUACCAAAUUUUUGAACGCAAGGAAUUAAUCUUGACCUAAUUAAUUUAUUCAUUUUA